AUUGAACGCUGGCGGUAGGCCUAACACAUGCAAGUCGAACGCGAAAGUCCUUCGGGAUGAGUAGAGUGGCGGACGGGAGAGUAACGCGUAGGAAUCUAUCCUGUAGUGGGGGAUAACGUUUCGAAAGGAACGCUAAUACCGCAUACGCCCCACGGGGGAAAGCGGGGGAUCUUCGGACCUCGUGCUAUAGGAGGAGCCUGCGUCGGAUUAGCUAGUUGGUGAGGUAAAGGCUCACCAAGGCGACGAUCCGUAGCUGGUCUGAGAGGAUGAUCAGCCACACCGGAACUGAGACACGGUCCGGACGCCUACGGGAGGCAGCAGUGGGGAAUAUUGCGCAAUGGGCGAAAGCCUGACGCAGCCAUACCGCGUGUGUGAAGAAGGCCUUCGGGUUGUAAAGCACUUUCAGUGGGGAGGAAAAGCUGGUGGCUAAUAUCCAUCGGCCGUGACGCUACCCACAGAAGAAGCACCGGCUAAUUCCGUGCCAGCCGCCGCGGUAACAC
rnacentral:rRNA from 1 species